UGCGUAGGCGGAAUAUUAAGUCAGUGGUGAAAUCCUGCGGCUCAACCAUAGAACUGCCAUUGAUACUGAUAUUCUUGAAUGUAGUUGAGGUAGGCGGAAUGUGUAAUGUAGCGGUGAAAUGCUUAGAUAUUACACAGAACACCGAUUGCGAAGGCAGCUUACUAAACUAUGAUUGACGCUGAGGCACGAAAGCGUGGGGAGCGAACAGGAUUAGAUACCCUGGUAGUCC
rnacentral:rRNA from 1 species